UACGGAGGGUGCAAACGUUGCUCGGAAUCAUUGGGCGUAAAGCGCACGUAGGCGGCUUGUUAAGUCGGGUGUGAAAUCCCUGGGCUCAACCCAGGAAGUGCACUCGAAACUGGCGAGCUUGAGUAUGGAAGAGGGUCGCGGAAUUCCCGGUGUAGAGGUGAAAUUCGUAGAUAUCGGGAGGAACACCAGUGGCGAAGGCGGCGACCUGGGCCAAUACUGACGCUGAGGCGCGAAAGCUAGGGGAGCAAACGGG
rnacentral:rRNA from 1 species